CUGGACCUACGGGGGGCAGCAGUGGGGAAUAUUGCACAAUGGGGGAAACCCUGAUGCAGCGCCGCCGCGUGCGCGACGCAGUAUUUCGGUAUGUAAAGCUCUAUCAGCAGGGAAGAAAAAUGACGGUACCUGAGUAAGAAGCACCGGCUAAAUACGUGCCAGCAGCCGCGGUAAUACGUAUGGUGCAAGCGUUAUCCGGAUUUACUGGGUGUAAAGGGAGCGCAGUCGGUGCGGCAAGUCUGAUGUGAAAGCCCGGGGCUCAACCCCGGGACUGCAUUGGCAACUACCGACCUAGAGUGUCGGAG
rnacentral:rRNA from 1 species